rnacentral:rRNA from 1 species
UGCAAUAGCACCACCUGACUCCAUGCCGAACUCAGAAGUGAAAUGUUGUAAUGCCGAUGGUAGUGUGGGGAUUCCCCAUGUGAGAGUAGGUC